CGGGGCGUGGCUCAGCUUGGCUAGAGCACCUGGUUUGGGACCAGGGGGUCGCCAGUUCAAAUCUGGCCGCCCCGACCA
rnacentral:tRNA from 1 species